rnacentral:rRNA from 1 species
CACGUAGGCGGACCGGAAAGUUGGGGGUGAAAUCCCGGGGCUCAACCCCGGAACUGCCUUCAAAACUAUCGGUCUGGAGUUCGAGAGAGGUGAGUGGAACUCCGAGUGUAGAGGUGAAAUUCGUAGAUAUUCGGAGGAACACCAGUGGCGAAGGCGGCUCACUGGCUCGAUACUGACGCUGAGGUGCGAAAGCGUGGGGAGCAAACA